CCUCCGGGAGACAGCAGUGAGGAAUAUUGGUCAAUGGGCGCGAGCCUGAACCAGCCAAGUCGCGUGAGGGAGGACGGCCCUACGGGUUGAAAACCUCUUUUGCCGGGGAGCAACGGGCGUCACGUGUGGCGCCACGGAGAGUACCCGGAGAAAAAGCAGCGGCGAACUCCGUGCCAGCAGCCGCGGUAAUACGGAGGAUGCGAGCGUUAGCCGGAUUGAUUGGGUUGACAGGGUGCGUAGGCGGAUCGUUAAGUCAGUGGUCACAUUGAGGGGCUCAACCCCUUCCCGCCAUUGAAACUGGCGCUCUUGAGUGGAAGAGACGUAUGCGGAAUGCGUGGUGUAGCGGU
rnacentral:rRNA from 1 species